GGAAUGUAACAGCGUUGCGUGUAAGCUUCAUUUGAGGUCUCGCCGCCUUGGCGGACGACCGUUUCGCGCGCCCGAACGAGGUCGGCUUUUGCUUUUUGCUUANGCCUUCCUGCCAUUAGGGUUGUUAUUACAAUCGCGCGUAGGUNGUGCCGCUCUGGCCUCGACGAGAUUGAAUGCUGAUCGCUAGCGGGGACUGUGCGUGCUCUUACUAGAACCCCGUCCGUCGGGCGAAAGGGAAUCCGGUUCCUAUUCCGGAACCCGGUUGCGGAACCGCUCUCUCGAUCCUCGUAUUGACACGGUAACGUGAAUGACCCCAGAGAUGCCGUCUGGAGCCCCGGGAAGAGUUCUCUUUUCUGCAUAAGCGCUCGGGUUCCAUGGAAUCCUCUCGUAGGGAGAUAUGGAAUGGAGCGCGAAGAGCACCGCAGUUGCUGCGGUGUCCGGGGAGUCCCGUCGGCCCUUGAAAAUCUGGGUGAGGGUCACGUGGAGGCGCCGCACCGGCUCGUACCCAUAUCCGCAGCAGGUCUCCGAGGUCAAGAGCCUCUAGUCGAUAGAC
rnacentral:rRNA from 1 species